rnacentral:rRNA from 1 species
UACGGAGGGUGCAAACGUUGCUCGGAAUCAUUGGGCGUAAAGCGCACGUAGGCGGCGAAGCAAGUCGGGUGUGAAAGCCCUGGGCUCAACCCAGGAAGUGCAUUCGAAACUAUUUCGCUUGAAUCUCGGAGGGGGUCAGAGAAUUCCCGGUGUAGAGGUGAAAUUCGUAGAUAUCGGGAGGAAUACCAGUGGCGAAGGCGCUGACCUGGACGAAGAUUGACGCUGAGGUGCGAAAGCGCGGGGAGCAAACAGGAUUAGAUACCCUGGUAGUCCGCGCUGUAAACGAUGAGUGCUAGACGGUGGAGGUAUUGACCCCUUCGCUGCCGAAGCUAACGCGUUAAGCACUCCGCCUGGGGAGUACGGUCGCAAGACUA